rnacentral:rRNA from 1 species
UACGUAGGUGGCAAGCGUUAUCCGGAUUUAUUGGGCGUAAAGGGAACGCAGGCGGUCUUUUAAGUCUGAUAUGAAAGCCUUCGGCUUAACCGGAGUAGUGCAUUGGAAACUGGGAGACUUGAGUGCAGAAGAGGAGAGUGGAACUCCAUGUGUAGCGGUGAAAUGCGUAGAUAUAUGGAAGAACACCAGUGGCGAAAGCGGCUCUCUGGUCUGUAACUGACGCUGAGGUUCGAAAGCGUGGGUAGCAAACAGG